rnacentral:rRNA from 1 species
GAAGGGAAACUCAACCAGUGCAGCCAGCGGAUUAAUUUGUGAUUGACGGGUCAUUCUACCUGGCUCGGACACUGUGCGGAACCACAGAUUGAGAGCUCUUUCUUGAUUGGUGGGUGGUGGUGCAUGGACGUUCCUAUAUGGUGGAAUGAUUUGUCUCGUUUAUUCCGAUCACGCACGAGACUCUCGCCUACUAAAUAGAUCGUCGGCUUACAAACUCCAGCGAGACUUCUUAGAGGGACAGGCGUGUGAUUCAACCGCACGAAACAGAGCAAUAACAGGUCUGUGAUGCCCUUAGAUGUCCGGGGCCGCACGCGCGCUACACUAAAUGAUCAGCGUGCUAUUUCACCCUACUCUGACAAGAGUGGGGAACCCAAUGAACCCUUCUUCGUGAUUGGGAUAGGGGAUUGUAAUUAUUCCCCUUGAACGAGGGAAUUCCCAGUAAGCGCGAGUCAUAAGCUCGCGUUGAUUACGUCCCUGCCCUUUGUACACACCGCCCGUCGCACUACCGAUUGAAUGUUU